rnacentral:lncRNA from 1 species
CAAACGCCUGAUGAAUGAGGGUCUGGUCAGACUUCUAAAGAUGGCCCCUCAAAAGUUUUCCCAAGCUGGUGACAGAAGAGAAAUGCGAAGAGAGAUUUGAAGCAUGAGGGGAAUUUGCCGCACCAUUGCUGACUUGAACUUGGAGGGAUCACAGGAGAAGGACUGUGGGUGACUGCAAGGAGCCAGGAGAGGCUAACAGCCUCAAGAAAACAGGAACCUCAAUCCUGGAAACUCGGGAAAUUGAAUCCUUUCCCCAACAUGAAUGAGCCUGGAAGAUUUCUCUUCAGUUCCCAGAUGAGAACACAGCCAAGGUUCAGCCUUGGAAACCUUGAGCAGAGAACCCAGCCAUGUGUGUAGGACCUCUGAGCUUCAGAACUCGGGGAUGAGACACUUUGGACAUGAGAAGAUGAGGGAAGGAGGCUCUGGGCAAAGGGAAGAGAGUGGCAAAGGCUGGCUUAUGACUUCGGUGGCAGGACACUUUGUGACUUCUGAGGCUGGGUCAUAGAAGGCAAUACAGCCUCCAUCUCUGAUGACAUUGGAACCCAGCCACCAUGCUGUGAGGAAGCCCAAGCGUCCUGUGGAGAGAUUAUGUGGGAGAGAACCAAGGCCCCCAGGCCACAGCAUUGGCUGAGCUCCCAGCCAACAGCCAGCAUCAAUUUGUGGAUAUUCUUGGAAGCAGAUAUUCCAGUCUCAAGAUGAGUUGUCCCAGCUGAUACCACAUUGAGCAGAGAUGAGCUGUUCCUGAUUGUCUAACUUCUUUUGUUAGAUCUUGCCUGGAGACAUCAAACCCUUCUUCCUGUUCCUCGCCUGCCAGAAACUCAAUCUGCCCUUGCGAGGACUUAUACGUUGAGUUCUUCUGUCAGAAAAAUCAAGUGUAGGAAAAAAAUCUUUGUAUUUCAGUAGAAAACAAUGCACUGUCUGUAGCACACCUUCCUGCAUUAUAAGAUUCUAGGCCUGUACAUUGUCUGAGCUAUUUUGAAACUCUCUGUAAGUUGUAACUGGUAUGUAAAUGCUGUACUGUCUGGUUGUGAUUUUAACUGACUUCUUCCUCACUGUGGAAAACUCAGUUUUGUCCCCAUUUGCAAUUUAUCUUAACAUUCCUUUACUCCAUAUAAAUCUGUUUUUGAGUUUUCCUUUAAACUGGUUAUAACACCUGCUUGCUUUUCUCAGAUCAUAUAAGUGAAGUAAAUUCUUCAACAUGUGCUAAUUUUUACAUCUAUAUGAGAGUCAUGAUUUUACCUUUCACUGAAAAUUAUCAUUUAACACAGGGAAGCCUUUGGGGGGAAGUGGCAGGACUUGGCUUCCAAAGAAGAAUGGACUGAAUCUCU